rnacentral:rRNA from 1 species
UACGAAGGGGGCUAGCGUUGUUCGGAAUCACUGGGCGUAAAGCGCACGUAGGCGGAUCUUUAAGUCAGGGGUGAAAUCCCGAGGCUCAACCUCGGAACUGCCUUUGAUACUGGGGAUCUCGAGUUCGGGAGAGGUGAGUGGAACUGCGAGUGUAGAGGUGAAAUUCGUAGAUAUUCGCAAGAACACCAGUGGCGAAGGCGGCUCACUGGCCCGAUACUGACGCUGAGGUGCGAAAGCGUGGGAGCAACAGGGAUUAAG